GACGAACGCUGGCGGCGUGCUUAACACAUGCAAGUCGAACGGAAAGGCCCUGCUUUUGUGGGGUGCUCGAGUGGCGAACGGGUGAGUAACACAUGAGUAACCUGCCCUUGACUUUGGGAUAACUUCAGGAAACUGGGGCUAAUACCGGAUAGGAGCUCCUGCUGCAUGGUGGGGGUUGGAAAGUUUCGGCGGUUGGGGAUGGACUCGCGGCUUAUCAGCUUGUUGGUGGGGUAGUGGCUUACCAAGGCUUUGACGGGUAGCCGGCCUGAGAGGGUGACCGGCCACAUUGGGACUGAGAUACGGCCCAGACUCCUACGGGAGGCAGCAGUGGGGAAUAGUGCACAAUGGGCGGAAGCCUGAUGCAGCAACGCCGCGUGCGGGAUGACGGCCUUCGGGUUGUAAACCGCUUUCGCCUGUGACGAAGCGUGAGUGACGGUAAUGGGUAAAGAAGCACCGGCUAACUACGUG
rnacentral:rRNA from 1 species